ACUCUCACUUUAAUAAGAUGAUGAAUGAAAAAUGUCCUUUCCAGAGUUAUCAAAAAAUUAGCUAAGGUUCAUGGAAGCGAGAUUAGCAGCAGAGAGAGGCUGGCCGCUGCAGGGAGGUCAGAAGAGUCACAAAGAGAUGCAGCUGAGAAUGUCUACAAAAUGUCUAAUAAUGCAAAUAUUAAAAAUUCAAGUAUACCGAAAUCUCUAGACACAUUAUAAGCUAUGUGAAAGCAGUUGGAUACUGAA
rnacentral:lncRNA from 1 species